GUGAGGAAUAUUGGUCAAUGGGCGAGAGCCUGAACCAGCCAAGUCGCGUGAAGGAAGUAGGAUCUAUGGUUCGUAAACUUCUUUUGCAGGGGAAUAAAGUGCAGGACGUGUCCUGUUUUGUAUGUACCCUGAGAAUAAGGAUCGGCUAACUCCGUGCCAGCAGCCGCGGUAAUACGGAGGAUCCGAGCGUUAUCCGGAUUUAUUGGGUUUAAAGGGUGCGUAGGUGGUUUGAUAAGUCAGCGGUGAAAGUUUGCAGCUUAACUGUAAAAAUGCCGUUGAAACUGUCGGACUUGAGUGUAAAUGAGGUAGGCGGAAUGCGUGGUGUAGCGGUGAAAUGCAUAGAUAUCACGCAGAACUCCGAUUGCGAAGGCAGCUUACUAAGCUACAACUGACACUGAAGCACGAAAGCGUGGGGAUCAAACAGGAUUAGAAACCCUAGUAGUCC
rnacentral:rRNA from 1 species